rnacentral:lncRNA from 1 species
UUUUUUUUUUUCUUUAACAGAUUUAUUGAGGUAUAGUUUACACACCAUAAAAUUUCCCAUUGCCUGUGCACAAUGAAUGAUGUUUAGUAAAUUUACAGAGUUCUGCAUCCAUCACCAAAAUCAAGCUUUGAAACGUUCUGUCACAGGUAGAAGGUCGUAACUGCAAGUUGUCCAGAUACCUGGCGUUUUGAACAAAGAGUUGAACGAAACGCCCAGCAAAGCAAAGAAAGAAUGAAGCAACAAAAGAAGGAAAGCAGGGAUUUAUUGAAAACAAAAGUACACUCCACAGUGUGGUAGCAGCCUGAGCAGCGGCUCAAGGGCCCGAAUACAGAAUCUUCUUUGCUCCAAAUACCCGCUAGAAGUUUCCCAUUGGCCACUUCAUGCAUACUUCGUGUAAAUGAAGUGGUAGUCCGCAAUCAGUCUGAUUGGCUGCAGAAAGCAGCCAACAAGAGGCUGAAGUUACAAAGGUCACACUCCUGUGCAAACAUCUGAUUGGUAAAGGCAACCAAUCAGAGGCUAGGAUGAAGUUACAAAGUUAUACUUCUGUGCAAAUGAAGACUGACUCAGCCCACAAUCAGUCUGAUUGGUUGUGGACGGCAACCAUUCAGAGGCUGGAGUUAAGUCACAAAGUUGCAAAGGAAGACUCCACUGGUACUCAGUCUGAUUUGUUGCAGACAGAUUUCCCGUCUGCAGCCUCCGUCCUUUUGUUACUUAGGCGUGGAAAGUUAGGGUUUUCCUUUCAACUUAGUUCUAGGAAGUCAGGGUGAAAGAGCCUUAGGUUCCCUGCCUCCAGACCCUAUUCUCCUGCCUCAAUUUCCAUCAUCCCAAAAAAGUUCCCUCGUGCCUUUUUGCAACCUUUUCAUCCCACUUCUUUCACUUAGCUUGAGGGCUUUGAGGUCAUCCACAUUGCAACAAGAAUCAAGCAGUCUUGUAAACCAUGGUAUAAAUACCCCACUUUUUAAAUAUCAGUUCACCAGUUGAUGGACAUUUAGCUUGUUUCCAUUUUUGACUAGUAGGAAUUAUGCUGCUGUGAAUAUUCACCUACAAGUCUUUGUGUUGACUUAUGUUUUAAUUUUUCUUGGAUUAGAGUUGCAAGAUUUAGCAAGUUAAAAUACAGGAUGCCGAAUUAAAUUCAAAUGUCAGAUAAACAAUACUGUUUUUAGUAUAAACAUGUUCCAUGCAAUAUUUUGGACAAACUUAUACUAAAAAAUUGUUUGUUUUUAUCUGACACACAAAUUUAACUGGGCCUCCUGUAUUUUAUCUGGCACCUCUACUGAUACCUAGAAAUGAUAUUACUGGGUUACAUAAUAGGUUUCUAUUUAACCUCUUAAGAUACUGCAAUCUGUUUUCCAAAGGGAGUGUUUACAUUCCAGCAAUGUGUGAGAUUCAUCUUUUUCUCAUCUUUAUUUACACUUGGCUAUCUGUCUUUUUAAAAACUAUAAUCAUUUGAGUGUGUGAGGAGUGGUUUCUCAUUGUGGUUUUAAUUUCAUCAAGUCUUUAUAAAGAAUUAUGUUUAUUAGCCAUUCACAUAUCUUCUUGGGAAAAUGUCAAAUCUUUUGACCAAUUUUUAUUUUUACUUUUUUUGUCACAGCCCUACACAUAAUUCAUGGCAUUCAGAACCUCACUUUAUCAACUGUUGCCAAAUUACCAUUUAAACAUUAAUACCCAAAUACAGAAUUUAGAACAUUAUUUUACAUUUUAACUCUACCAUCCCCAAUC